UGAGUUAAAGGGGGGACGCCCGCGCGCGGUAUGGAAAGGCACGUAUGAGAAACAUCCGCGAUUAAUGCGUCAAAAAAAUUCUCGGCGUCAAGCACAUGUCAGAUUAACGCGUUUUUAAUGCGACAAAUCCAACCCCCAACACUGGCAGACGGAACGUGAGGCCAACCCGGAAGUAACAAAACGUUGCAGUACCGGCACUGACCAGAGAGGCUGGUGCUUGGAGUGAGCAAAUUCCCAUAGACUCCCAUGUUAAAAUCCUCAUUUUCAGCCCUCUAAUAAACCCCUUUAAUGCCUGGUGCUUAAAGUUUUUAUUUCAUCAAUAGCUGCAUAUUUGAUCCACGACAACUCUGAGGGGAGUGAAUUUUUUCUAAGUUUGUAAUUUUUUUUUAAACGGCAUUUAUUUUCGCUUAAUGAGGAGGCGUGGCCUUUGAUUGACGGGUGACGAUCGCGGUGGAUUCUGGGAGCAGUGCUCCGGUGUUUUGCUCGUCUGCUACAGAUUUAGCGUUAGCAUGAGCGCUAUAUAUCGGUUUUUGUCCUGCUGCCGUGAUGUAAACUGUUCUAAUAUGAUCUCUGGGAGUCAUCUGGUGUCUUUUCUCUGGUCUGCUUCUGGUGGUGAGCGGAUUUAUAAUCCAAAAAUAAUCCAGCAUUUACAUUUAAAGGCAGUAAAAUUUGAAUUUUAACAUAUGAAGAUGACUCCUGCAGAUGUGUGAUUCAAUAAAAAUCAUGUUUAACAUAU